rnacentral:lncRNA from 1 species
GGUCUCCGCCCUAGCCAAUCGGCACCUUCCACUCUCCCGGUGGGACCAAUCAGCGGCUGCCGGGAACCCGGGCUGUCGCCAUGGCAGCAAGGAGGCGGGAGCGCGCCGUGGGUAGAAGUACAGAGCAGAGCCGGCGGCUGGGGGCUUUAGAGGCCAGCCUGUUCCCUGCAAGCGUUCAGCAGGCGGAGCCUUGCGCUUGGAGACCCGGCUUCGCAAAACUGGCGGCCUCGAGAACCUGUGAAGAGUCAGUUCUUACUGAAAAAGCAUUGAGACAGGAGCCAGACCCACCUCUUCACUAAUUUGAUAUUGUGCAAGUCACCUUACCUCUCUGGAUCUCAGUUGCCUCAUCUGUAAAAAGGAGAUAGAAAUUCUUAACCUGUUUGAAGGUAAGUGAUCAGUUAAGAGGGCUUCCCAGGUGGCUCAGUGGUAAAGAACCCUCCUGCCAAGUCAGAAGAUGUAAGAGACAUGGGUUUGAUCUCU